UACAGAGGUCUCAAGCGUUGUUCGGAUUCAUUGGGCGUAAAGGGUGCGUAGGUGGCGUCGUAAGUGGGGUGUGAAAUCCCGGGGCUUAACCCCGGGACUGCAUUCCAUACUGCGGUGCUUGAGGACUGGAGAGGAGACUGGAAUUUACGGUGUAGCAGUGAAAUGCGUAGAGAUCGUAAGGAAGACCAGUGGCGAAGGCGGGUCUCUGGACAGUUCCUGACACUGAGGCACGAAGGCCAGGGAGCAAACGGG
rnacentral:rRNA from 1 species